rnacentral:rRNA from 1 species
AUUGAACGCUGGCGGCAUGCUUUACACAUGCAAGUCGAACGGUAACAGGCCUUCGGGUGCUGACGAGUGGCGAACGGGUGAGUAAUGCAUCGGAACGUACCCAGGGGUGGGGGAUAACGCAGCGAAAGCUGUGCUAAUACCGCAUGUGAUCUGAGGAUGAAAGCGGGGGACCGGGCAGCAAUGUUUGGCCUCGCGCCUUUGGACCGCCCGAUGUCGGAUUAGCUAGUUGGUGGGGUAAAGGCCUACCAAGGCGACGAUCCGUAGCUGGUCUGAGAGGACGACCAGCCACACUGGGACUGAGACACGGCCCAGACUCCUACGGGAGGCAGCAGUGGGGAAUUUUGGACAAUGGGCGCAAGCCUGAUCCAGCAAUGCCGCGUGCGGGAAGAAGGCCUUCGGGUUGUAAACCGCUUUUGGCAGGAACGAAACGGUGUCCGCUAAUACCGGGCGCUAAUGACGGUACCUGCAGAAUAAGCACCGGCUAACUACGUG